AGGACGAACGCUGGCGGCGUGCUUAACACAUGCAAGUCGAGCGACGCUCCUCCUUCGGGAGGAUGACGGAGCGGCGAACGGGUGAGUAACACGUGGGCAACCUGCCCCCUAGCUCUGGGAUAACCCCGGGAAAUCGGGACUAAUACCGGAUAUGAAGUCGGACGGCAUCGUCUGACUUGGAAAGUUUUUCGGCUAGGGAUGGGCCCGCGGCCUAUCAGCUUGUUGGUGGGGUAAUGGCCUACCAAGGCGACGACGGGUAGCCGGCCUGAGAGGGCGACCGGCCACACUGGGACUGAGACACGGCCCAGACUCCUACGGGAGGCAGCAGUGGGGAAUAUUGCACAAUGGGCGAAAGCCUGAUGCAGCGACGCCGCGUGAGGGAUGACUGCCUUCGGGUUGUAAACCUCUUUCAGCAGGGACGAAGCGAAAGUGACGGUACCUGCAGAGAAGCACCGGCAACUACGUGCCAGCAGCCGCGGUAA
rnacentral:rRNA from 1 species